GUCUCUCUUUUAUAUAUAUGAAGAACGAAAAGAGAAAAGUUCGUUUCCUAGUACGUUUGCAGGAAUAAAUCGAAAGUCGAAUUACGUAAGAAUCGGUAGACGACUAUUACGUGUCGCUCAGAAUAUGAGCGCACACUCGCUAGUAACAAAUAAGCAAGCAAGCAAAAACGUGCACGCGUGGGUGUUGUGUUAUGUGUAGAGAAGAAGAAGCAACCGGUGCGCAACCAAGCGCAGCGCGCACCAAGAGCGCACCUUUUUUCAAUAUUUCCCCGAGUCAAAUGACGAGGGAAAAAUAGUGAAUUAAUUUUUAUUCGGACAACUUGUUCAGCGCGAUGCGAAAUAUUUUGUCCUCCUGUUCGCGAAGGAAAAAAAAAGGAAAAGAAAAAAACAAUAAAUCUUUUGAUAUAAUAAAUAAGCACAGAAGGAAAUUGUGAAAGAGAGUGUGUUACGAACGCGAUCAACCUGUAUAUUAUUAUUAGAUUCUAGGCCGAUCGCGCUUGCUCGGCAAGCCGUUGCGCUCGUCGAAAGUAGAAAAGUUGUUGUCACCCCCUUCAUCUUGCAAGAUCACCGCUUACGAAAGUAUUCGAAUUUCGUAAAAAAAAGGAAAAAAAAGGAAAAAAAGGAAAGAAUACGAAUAAUAAGUAGAUAAUAUUAAUUGUUAUUCCUUCGUACGGGAUACUACCGAUUAUGUUAAAAAAAGGAUAGAAACGUGGGUGACAAAAACGAUAGGAUCAUUUCGCAUAGUAUCAUUUUUCAGUGUUUUUAUCCUUUUCCUUCCCGAACGAUCGCAAAAAGAUGAUCAUCACGUAACCGAACGAUUAUUUUAUAUCUCGGUGUUUUCGAGUUAGGAUCUAUCUCUAUAUCCCAAGUCCUGACGAUGAUCGCAACGAUUCGUAAUUCGAAACGAACAAUUGCGAAAAGAAAAAAAUAGAAAAAAAUAGAAAAAACAAAGACAAGAUUUAUCCGCUUCUUAUUUUCUUCGUCUCCUUUUUUUUCUCGUUUCAUCGAAAAAAUACAUUUCUAUUUCUACCAAGCGUAAAACGUUUUAUCCUUGACCGUUGAAGAAGCAACCGCGACCGAACAAUUAGUUUGGCUUUGACGUCGUAUUUGCGCGAUUUACGUCGAUCAGAAUGAAUGACACGACGCAACAACUUUUAAAUGCACGACGACAAUGUUAAAAGAGAAAAUCAUCGAUCCGUUAUUCGAUCUUCUCUCUUACUUCUUCUUCUAUUGUUAUUAUUAUUAUUAUUUUUCACGUUGAUUCAAUCAAUCGUUCACGAUACCGAUUCGUGAUCUUUUAUUUUAAACGUAACGCGUACGCUAUUAAUAUACUUCGCUUCGAUCAAUCAGUUAUUGUUAGGUGAUAGAGCAGGACGAGUAGUUGCAUCUCCUUCAAUUUUCUUUCUUAUUAUUUUUUAACACUCGUCAAAAUUGCUAUGCAAGAGUAUUACAUUUAUUUUUAUCCAUAACGAUGAGACGACGAGAUGAUCAUUUAUCGUUAGGAAAAGGAAAAGGAAAAGAAAAAGAUUACAAUGGAUUGCAUUUAAUAAAAUGAUUUUUUCUUGUAAUCUCCAUUGGUUCAAUUUUCAAUCCGCGAACAAAUUUAACGAUAAAGAUUUGAAGAUAUAAUCACGGUAAAUAUCGAAGAUUCGAUUAUCACGUGUGGUGACCAGAAAAAAGUUACGUUGAAAUUUAGACGAACGGAUAGAUGGAAAGAAAAGCUUGCUUUCUAAUUGGAUGAGAGAAGCCCUAUUUUGCAGACUAACGAUCCGCUUUCUGUGUCAGCGGCAAAGUAAAAAGAUUUCGAACGCCGGAUAGACGCGAGAGGAAACUUUGAAAUAGAGCAAAAUAAUUUGGCUAGGUGGAAUUUCACGAAACAAAGCUACGUAUAGGGGGUACAAGUAGAAGAAGAAGGAGAAGAAGAAGGA
rnacentral:lncRNA from 1 species